UACGGAGGGUGCAAGCGUUAUCCGGAUUUACUGGGUUUAAAGGGUGCGUAGGUGGGCUGGUAAGUCAGUGGUGAAAUCCCCGAGCUUAACUUGGGAACUGCCAUUGAUACUAUCAGUCUUGAAUACUGUGGAGGUCAGCAGAAUAUGUCAUGUAGCGGUGAAAUGCUUAGAUAUGACAUAGAAUACCAAUUGCGAAGGCAGCUGGCUACACAAAUAUUGACACUGAGGCACGAAAGCGUGGGGAUCAAACAGG
rnacentral:rRNA from 1 species